rnacentral:tRNA from 1 species
CGGGCUGUCGUAUAGUGGUAGUACGGGUGCAUGGGGUGCAUCUAGCCUCGGUUCGAUUCCGAGCAGCCCGACCA